CAGCGGGGGUAGAGACGCAGGGUGAGGAGCACCCGUUGGAGGCGCUCGAUGCGGCUCCCCCGUCACUCCUCCUUCUAUGCCCACUGCUGGUGCUCCCCCGUUGCUCCUCCUCCUCCAUCGUGAGGCGCUGCACUUGGGUUAGGAUUUUCUAUUGGAUUGGUGACUGCUGUGAGCUGGUAAUAUGUCAUGCUUGGCCAUCCCGUUGCAGGUUGCCACCAAUGGGAAUACAGCCAGUGGACUGGUUUUGCUUGUCAGCGACCAAAACAAGAACAAGUCAAUUCUUAUAUGUACAUAUUCAAUUUGUGGAUGGUUGGAGGCUCUGUGUUCAUGGUUUAUAUGGGUCAUCUUUAUAUCUGGGCCAUGGUGGUUGUGAUUCAAAU